AUUGAACGCUGGCGGCACGCCUAACACAUGCAAGUCGAGCGGUAGCAUGAUCUGUAGCAAUACAGAUUGAUGACGAGCGGCGGACGGGUGAGGAACACGUAGGAACUUGCCCAAUAGAGGGGGAUAACUAAGGGAAACUUUAGCUAAUACCGCAUAUUCUCGAGAGAGGAAAGCUGCCCGCAAGGGUGGCGCUAUUGGAGAGGCCUGCGUCCGAUUAGCUAGUUGGUGAGGUAAAGGCUCACCAAGGCGAUGAUCGGUAACUGGCCUUAGAGGACGACCAGUCACACUGGGACUGAGACACGGCCCAGACUCCUACGGGAGGCAGCAGUGGGGAAUCUUGGACAAUGGGGGCAACCCUGAUCCAGCGAUGCCGCGUGAGUGAAGAAGGCCUUCGGGUCGUAAAGCUCUUUAGGUUGGGAGGAAGGUUAGUAUUUUAAGAGAUAACUAAUUUGACUGUACCGACAGAAUAAGCACCGGCAAACUCUGUGCCAGCCGCCGCAGUAA
rnacentral:rRNA from 1 species